AUUCUACUCCCUCCGUUGCACAAUACAUGCCUUCUAUUUGUCAAAAUAUAUAUGUAUCUAGACAUGUCUUAGUAUAUAGGUACAUCCAUUUUUGGACAAAUGGAAGUCAAGUAUUUUGGAACGGAGGGAGUACANU
rnacentral:pre_miRNA from 1 species